UACAGAGGGGGCAAGCGUUAUUCGGAAUUACUGGGCGUAAAGCGUGCGCAGGCGGUUAUGCAAGGCAGAUGUGAAAUCCCCGGGCUCAACCUGGGAACUGCAUUUGUGACUGCAUAGCUAGAGUGCGGCAGAGGGAGAUGGAAUUCCGCGUGUAGCAGUGAAAUGCGUAGAUAUGCGGAGGAACACCGAUGGCGAAGGCAACCCCCUGGGCCUGCACUGACGCUCAUGCACGAAAGCGUGGGGAGCAAACAGG
rnacentral:rRNA from 1 species